UUCCACAAUAAAAAGAAAUGAGCUAUCAAGCCAUGAAAAGACAUGGAGGUAUAUUAAGACUACCCAUGUAUCCCUAGACCUAGUUCUUUCGAUAGGUCUGGUUUUGUAAAUGCUCGUGAUAAAC